GUAGGUGGCAAGCGUUGUCCGGGAAUUAUUGGGGCGUAAAGCGCGCGCAGGCGGUUCUUUAAGUCUGAUGUGAAAGCCCACGGGCUCAACCGUGGAGGGUCAUUGGAAACUGGAGAACUUGAGUACAGAAGAGGAAAGCGGAAUUCCACGUGUAGCGGUGAAAUGCGUAGAGAUGUGGAGGAACACCAGUGGCGAAUGCGGCUUUCUGGUCUGUAACUGACGCUGAGGCGCGAAAGCGUGGGGAGCAAACAGGAUUAGAUACCCUGGUAGUCCACGCCGUAAACGAUGAGUGCUAAGUGUUAGGGGGUUUCCGCCCCUUAGUGCUGCAGCUAACGCAUUAAGCACUCCGCCUGGGGAGUACGGCCGCAAAGGCUG
rnacentral:rRNA from 1 species